rnacentral:rRNA from 1 species
UACGGAGGGUGCAAGCGUUAUCCGGAUUCACUGGGUUUAAAGGGUGCGUAGGCGGACAGGUAAGUCCGUGGUGAAAUCCUGCAGCUUAACUGCAGAACUGCCAUGGAUACUAUCUAUCUUGAAUGUCGUGGAGGUUAGCGGAAUAUGUCAUGUAGCGGUGAAAUGCUUAGAUAUGACAUAGAACACCCAUUGCGAAGGCAGCUAACUACGCGAUAAUUGACGCUGAUGCACGAAAGCGUGGGGAGCGAACAGG